UUUCAUUCUCUUUAAUUUGUUUUGGAAACAUUAUAUUGCCAUUCUAAUCAUGCUCUCCAAGGACACUGCCCGUACACUUAUUGGCAUAAUCGGGAAUGUUACAGCUCUGGUCUUGUUCUUGUCACCCUUGCCUACAAUUGUGAAGAUAUGGAAGAAAAAAUCAGUGGAGCAAUUCUCAGUGUGCACCCCAUCAGCUUCC